GAUGAACGCUGGCGGCGUGCCUAAUACAUGCAAGUCGAGCGAACGGACGAGAAGCUUGCUUCUCUGAUGUUAGCGGCGGACGGGUGAGUAACACGUGGAUAACCUACCUAUAAGACUGGGAUAACUUCGGGAAACCGUAGCUAAUACCGGAUAAUAUUUUGAACCGCAUGGUUCAAAAGUGAAAGACGGUCUUGCUGUCACUUAUAGAUGGAUCCGCGCUGCAUUAGCUAGUUGGUAAGGUAACGGCUUACCAAGGCAACGAUGCAUAGCCGACCUGAGAGGGUGAUCGGCCACACUGGAACUGAGACACGGUCCAGACUCCUACGGGAGGCAGCAGUAGGGAAUCUUCCGCAAUGGGCGAAAGCCUGACGGAGCAACGCCGCGUGAGUGAUGAAGGUCUUCGGAUCGUAAAACUCUGUUAUUAGGGAAGAACAUAUGUGUAAGUAACUGUGCACAUCUUGACGGUACCUAAUCAGAAAGCCACGGAUAACUACGUG
rnacentral:rRNA from 1 species